rnacentral:rRNA from 1 species
AGUGAACGCUGGCGGUAGGCCUAACACAUGCAAGUCGAACGGCAGCACAGUAAGAGCUUGCUCUUACGGGUGGCGAGUGGCGGACGGGUGAGGAAUACAUCGGAAUCUACUUUUUCGUGGGGGAUAACGUAGGUAAACUUACGCUAAUACCGCAUACGACCUACGGGUGAAAGCAGGGGAUCUUCGGACCUUGCGCGAUUGAAUUAGCCGAUGUCGGAUUAGCUAGUUGGCGGGGUAAAGGCCCACCAAGGCGACGAUCCGUAGCUGGUCUGAGAGGAUGGUGCGCGACAGUGGAAGUGAGACACGGUACAGACACCUACGGGAGGCAGAGGUGGGGAAGGUUGGACAAUGGGCGCAAGCCUGCUCCAGCCACGCAGCGUGGGUGAAGAAGGCCUUCGGGUUGUAAAGCCCUUUUGGUGGGAAAGAAAAGCAGCAGGUUAAUACCACGCUGUUCUGACGGUACCCAAAGAAUAAGCACCGGCUAACAUCGU